rnacentral:misc_RNA from 1 species
AACCGGCGCUUGACGUUUUUCUCUUCGCCCACACUCAGUUCAUCUUCACUCUUCACAGUAGCGAGUCAGAAAGUAUAGUCUGAACGCCUGCGGCAGGUUACCUGAAAUUAUAUAAAAACUCGCUGACAGCUAGCCCUUCUGAAAGAGCGUGUGGUCUAUGAUAAGGAUGUAUGGUAUAUUAUGAUUCAGAGAGGAGCUAACUCAGUCACAAAUUAGGUAUAGAAUCUAACAGCGAUUUCAUCAGGUCCUGGAGCUUUGUUCAAUUUUAAUGAUUGCAGCAGUGUUUUUCCAGCAUCACUGAUACUAGUGUGAAAAAAUGCCCAAUGAUGCAUUUGGUUAAAUGCAUUAUGCUUCUUAUCUUGCUGGCAUAUGCAGCUUGUGAACAUCAUGCUGAAAACCUGGAGCGUGAAAGUAACACUCAAGCUCAGCCACGUCUGGGCCACCGCAUUCAACUCCUCUUCCCACUGCUAAUUGCUGUCGCAGCACGUUUAGGUGCCCUGCUACCAAUGGCUGGCAGCAUCCUCACAGGUGUUGCACUUAUG